AACAGGUAGCCGUAGGGCGUAACUCGGUACCCGUAGAGUUUGAUCAUGGCUCACGAAAGUUGUAACAGGGGACCCGUAAAUUUUUACCCGGCCCCCCAAUGUUUUUGGCAUGGGCCCUGGAAACGGCGUCUAAUACUGGAUAUGUGACGUGACCGCAUGGUCUGCGUUUGGAAAGAUUUUUCGGUUGGGGAUGGGCUCGCGGCCUAUCAGCUUGUUGGUGAGGUAAUGGCUCACCAAGGCGUCGACGGGUAGCCGGCCUGAGAGGGUGACCGGCCACACUGGGACUGAGACACGGCCCAAACUCCUACGGGAGGCAGCAGUGGGGAAUAUUGCACAAUGGGCGGAAGCCUGAUGCAGCAACGCCGCGUGAGGGAUGACGGCCUUCGGGUUGUAAACCUCUUUUAGCAGGGAAGAAGCGAAAGUGACGGUACCUGCAGAAAAAGCGCCGGCUAACUACGUGCCAGCAGCCGCGGUAAUACGUAGGGCGCAAGCGUUAUCCGGAAUUAUUGGGCGUAAAGAGCUCGUAGGCGGUUUGUCGCGUCUGCUGUGAAAUCCCGAGGCUCAACCUCGGGCCUGCAGUGGGUACGGGCAGACUAGAGUGCGGUAGGGGAGAUUGGAAUUCCUGGUGUAGCGGUGGAAUGCGCAGAUAUCAGGAGGAACACCGAUGGCGAAGGCAGAUUCUCUGGGCCGUA
rnacentral:rRNA from 1 species